UGGGGAAUUUUGGACAAUGGGCGAAAGCCUGAUCCAGCAAUGCCGCGUGUGUGAAGAAGGCCUUCGGGUUGUAAAGCACUUUUGUCCGGAAAGAAAUCCUUGGCUCUAAUACAGUCGGGGGAUGACGGUACCGGAAGAAUAAGCACCGGCUAACUACGUGCCAGCAGCCGCGGUAAUACGUAGGGUGCAAGCGUUAAUCGGAAUUACUGGGCGUAAAGCGUGCGCAGGCGGUUUGCUAAGACCGUGUGAAAUCCCCGGGCUCAACCUGGGAACUGCAUUGGUGANUGGCAGGCUAGAGUAUGGCAGAGGGGGGUAGAAUUCCACGUUAGCAGUGAAAUGCGUAGAGAUGUGGAGGAAUACCGAUGGCGAAGGCAGCCCCCCUGGGCAAUACUGACGCUCAUGCACG
rnacentral:rRNA from 1 species